rnacentral:rRNA from 1 species
CGGAAGAUGUAACGGGGCUAAACCAUGCACCGAAGCUGCGGCAGCGAACGUAUCACCCAAGACAACUUUACGGAGUUGACGAUUGACGGAGCGAAGCGACGUCAAAGCGUUCAUUAAAGUCGAGUUGGCUUAGGGAUACGUUCGUUGGGUAGGGGAGCGUUCUGUAAGCCUGUGAAGGUGUGUCGUGAGGCAUGCUGGAGGUAUCAGAAGUGCGAAUGCUGACAUAAGUAACGAUAAAGCGGGUGAAAAGCCCGCUCGCCGGAAGACCAAGGGUUCCUGUCCAACGUUAAUCGGGGCAGGGUGAGUCGACCCCUAAGGCGAGGCCGAAAGGCGUAGUCGAUGGGAAACGGGUUAAUAUUCCCGUACUUGGUGUUACUGCGAAGGGGGGACGGAGAAGGCUAUGUUGGCCGGGCGACGGUUGUCCCGGUUUAAGCGUGUAGGUGUGUGUUCCAGGUAAAUCCGGUUCACUUUAACACUGAGGCGUGACGACGAGGCACUACGGUGCUGAAGCAACAAAUGCCCUGCUUCCAGGAAAAGCCUCUAAGCAUCAGGUAACACGAAAUCGUACCCCAAACCGACACAGGUGGUCAGGUAGAGAAUACCAAGGCGCUUGAGAGAACUCGGGUGAAGGAACUAGGCAAAAUGGUGCCGUAACUUCGGGAGAAGGCACGCUGACACGUAGGUGAAGUGAUUUACUCAUGGAGCUGAAGUCAGUCGAAGAUACCAGCUGGCUGCAACUGUUUAUUAAAAACACAGCACUGUGCAAACACGAAAGUGGACGUAUACGGUGUGACGCCUGCCCGGUGCCGGAAGGUUAAUUGAUGGGGUCAGCG